GCCUUCGUGGUGUAAUGGUCAGCACACUGAGCCAGUAUUUCAGAGGUCCGCGGUUCGAUCCCCGGCGAAGGCA
rfam:Stegodyphus mimosarum contig83593, whole genome shotgun sequence.